CGAACGCUGGCGGCGUGCCUAAUACAUGCACGUAGACCGCUGAAGAGAGGAGCUUGCUCUUCUUGGAUGAGUUGCGAACGGGUGAGUAACGCGUAGGUAACCUGCCUUGUAGCGGGGGAUAACUAUUGGAAACGAUAGCUAAUACCGCAUAACAAUGGAUGACACAUGUCAUUUAUUUGAAAGGGGCAAUUGCUCCACUACAAGAUGGACCUGCGUUGUAUUAGCUAGUAGGUGAGGUAAUGGCUCACCUAGGCGACGAUACAUAGCCGACCUGAGAGGGUGAUCGGCCACACUGGGACUGAGACACGGCCCAGACUCCUACGGGAGGCAGCAGUAGGGAAUCUUCGGCAAUGGGGGCAACCCUGACCGAGCAACGCCGCGUGAGUGAAGAAGGUUUUCGGAUCGUAAAGCUCUGUUGUAAGUCAAGAACGGGUGUGAGAGUGGAAAGUUCACACUGUGACGGUAGCUUACCAGAAAGGGACGGCUAACUACGUG
rnacentral:rRNA from 1 species